UGUUCUCGUUUGUCUGGCAUGUCACGCACCUGACUUUGACCUGUACAGGAAGUGCGUGACCUCCCUGUCCAACAUGUCGGAUCAUCUUUCUUUUUUCCCUUUCUUCUCUUUCUCUGAACGUUAUUGCUGCAGACCAGUACAGCAAACAACUGAGAACUAUAAGACAAUCGGGUAUCCGAGAAACCACUCAUGCGACACGGACCACCCAGAGCCCCUGAAGCGACCGCGUCCACACACCCAUCAGGUAUGCGACGGACAACAUAAAUGUAUGGAAGGUGAUCCACGAGGCCAAAUGGACUCCAUCAUCUCCAUCUUUGAAACUGGACCUGACAACCACAUUGUCUUGUUUGUGUUUGUGGAGAGCGAAAGGACAAAGAAGAAGAGUGACAGGUCAAGAGUGUUUACA